UAUAGAACUCAAGUGGUAUGAUUGUUCAGACUGCUGCAGUGCACUGUUCUGGCAGCGCUUUUGCAAAGCACCAUCUACUUCCCGUGGAAGGGAAAGCGUCAUGGCGGCUUCCUGUUCGUCGCGCAAGGUUUUUCAAUACGGACUCUCAACAAACUUUCGCGAUUCUUAUGCGUCGAAUGCAUCCUCCCUCGUGAAAAAUCUUGACUGAAGUGACCGCAUUGAUGAAGACAAACAUCUAUAGCUCCGAACUGUGCUUCGUUUCGUCCAUGGGUUGCAAAGGAAAAAGGGUGUAAAAGGUGGCAAUGAAUCCGCACAUGAAGCUGGCGCACAAGCUAAGCCUCCCCUAAAGAGGUCCACUAAGCAAGCAUUUUAAAUAUUGCUAAUAAAACAUUUUGUUCUGUCUUCAUCUACCUAA
rnacentral:lncRNA from 1 species